CCUACGGGUGGCAGCAGUGAGGAAUAUUGUCAAUGGCCGGAAGGCUGAACCAGCCAUGCCGCGUGAAGGUCAGUGCCCUAUGGGCGUUAAACUUCUUUUGUGCGGGAGCAAUAAUGGUCACGUGUGGCCAGACGAGAGUACCGUACGAAUAAGCAUCGGCUAACUCCGUGCCAGCAGCCGCGGUCAUACGGGGGAUGCAAGCGUUAUCCGGAUUUAGUGGGUUUAAAGGGUGCGUAGGCUGGGAGGUAAGUCAGCGGUGAAAUGCCCCCGCGCAACGGGGUGAAGUGCCAUUGAUACUGCCGUGCUGGAAUGCGGAAGCCGUGGGAGGAAUGUGUGGUGUAGCGGUGAAAUGCGUAGAUAUAACAAAGAACACCGGUUGCGAAGGCAGCUCACGAAUCCGCGAUUGACGCUGAUGCACGAAAGCGUGGGUAUCAAACAGGAUUAGAUACCCGGGUAGUC
rnacentral:rRNA from 1 species